rnacentral:rRNA from 1 species
AGAGUUUGAUCCUGGCUCAGAACGAACGCUGGCGGCGUGGAUUAGGCAUGCAAGUCGAACGCGAACGUCACCUUCGGGUGGCUAGUAGAGUGGCGAACGGGUGAGUAACGCGUGAGAAACCUGCCUAGAAGUGGGGGAUAACACUCCCAACGGGGUGCUAAUACCGCAUGUGAUGUGAGUGUCUCCUGGCACACACAGGAAAGAUGGCCUCUGCUUGCAAGCUAUCGCUUCUAGAAGGUCUCGCGUCCGAUUAGCUUGUUGGUGAGGUAACGGCCCACCAAGGCGACGAUCGGUAGCUGGUCUGAGAGGAUGGUCAGCCACACUGGGACUGAGAUACGGCCCAGACUCCUACGGGAGGCAGCAGUCGAGAGGCUUUGUCAAUGGGGGAAACCCUGAACAAGCGACGCCGCGUGGGGGAUGACGGCCUUUGGGUUGUAAACCCCUUUCAGCAGGGACGAAUGUUAUGUGGGUGAAUAAUCCACGUAGUUGACGGUACCCGCAGAAGAAGCUCCGGCUAACUCCGUGCCAGCAGCCGCGGUAAUACGGGGGGAGCGAGCGUUGUUCGGAAUCACUGGGCGUAAAGGGCGUGUAGGCGGUUCGGUAAGUGAGAUGUGAAAGCCCCCGGCUCACCCGGGGAUGUGCAUUUCAUACUGCCGGACUUGAGUGCGGAAGAGGAUGGGGGAAUUCCUGGUGUAGCGGUGAAAUGCGUAGAUAUCAGGAGGAACACCGGUGGCGAAGGCGCCCAUCUGGUCCGUUACUGACGCUGAUGCGCGAAAGCUAGGGGAGCGAACGGGAUUAGAUACCCCGGUAGUCCUAGCCGUAAACGGUGGGCACUAGGUGUUGGAGGCAUCGACCCUUCCAGUGCCGCAGCUAACGCAUUAAGUGCCCCGCCUGGGGAGUACGGUCGCAAGACUGAAACUCAAAGGAAUUGACGGGGGCCCGCACAAGCGGUGGAGCAUGUGGUUCAAUUCGACGCAACGCGAAGAACCUUACCCAGGCUUGACAUGCACUGGACCGGUGUAGAAACACACCUUCCCUUCGGGGCUAGUGCACAGGUGCUGCAUGGCUGUCGUCAGCUCGUGUCGUGAGAUGUUGGGUUAAGUCCCGCAACGAGCGCAACCCUUGCCCUUAGUUGCUAACGAAUAAAGUCGAGCACUCUAGGGGGACUGCCGGCGGUAAGCCGGAGGAAGGUGGGGACGACGUCAAGUCCUCAUGGCCCUUACGCCUGGGGCUACACACGUGCUACAAUGACCGACACAGAGGGCUGCGAUACCGCGAGGUGGAGCCAAUCCCAAAAAGUCGGCCUCAGUUCGGAUUGCAGUCUGCAACUCGACUGCAUGAAGGUGGAAUCCUAGUAAUCGCUGAUCAGCAGGCAGCGGUGAAUACGUUCCCGGGCCUUGUACACACCGCCCGUCAAGCCACGAAAGUUGGCAGUACCCGAAGUCGCCGUGGUAACCCGCAAGGGAGCUAGGCGCCUAAGGUAAGGCUAGCGAUUGGGGCUAAGUCGUAACAAGGUA